rnacentral:lncRNA from 1 species
AGAACAAACAAAAAAAUUAACAUAUGGAAAUUGUUUUUAAAUAUUUCACUGGUGACUUUAAUUAUGUUUCCUGGACAUGUAGGGAUGUGUGUAAUUGAUAUUAAAUGUUUUUGAAAAAAAUUAAUAUGGGUUUUUAAUAUUUAUUUUUUUGUGUUUUUAUAGGAUCAUAGAAUGCAUUUAUAUAUUUAUAUAUAUUUUUUUUUUGUUUGCUGUAGAUUCAUUUAUGUUCGUGGAUAUCUAUUUUUGUGGAUUGAGGAAAACUUGUGUUUUUGUAGAUAUUUGAUUUCUUGGUUUGGACAAUCUCUGUAUGCAACAUGUGCAAAGCUUAUAGAACAUUUGUAAUUCGUUAAACACUAUGACACCUAUACCCACGAAACCCACGACAAUUGAGUAAAAAUGAAUCCACAGUAUUGAGUAAAUCUAUGAUAUCUUGUAUUUGUAUGAGAUUAAAACCAAUAUAUCGUAAUUUUGUAUACCCUGUUUGGUCUGUAUUUAUUAUUAGAUUUAGUACAGUUUUUAUUCUUUGAGCUAAUGUGUAUAAAAGUAUUUUAUAGUCUGCAUUUAAUAAGGAGAUUUGCCUAUAAUUUGAAAGAUCUGUUGAACAUUCUUUUUUGUAUAUAAAGUUAAGAAUACUUAUGGGAAAUCAUAGCUUUUGCCUGUCUUAGCUUGUACUACAAAAGUGUACAAUGAUAGGGCCUAAUGAUUGCCAAAACUUUUUUAUACAAAUGUGUUGUGAUACCAUUUCUUCCUUAGCUUUUAUUUGGUUUUUGAAAUUAUUUACUGCUAGUGUUAAUUCUUCUAUUGUAACAUAGUCGUCGCACG